rnacentral:rRNA from 1 species
UACGGGGGGAGCAAGCGUUGUUCGGAUUUACUGGGCGUAAAGGGCGCGUAGGCGGCCACCGCAAGUCGACUGUGAAAUCUCCGGGCUUAACCCGGAAAGGUCAGCCGAUACUGCGGGGCUAGAGUGGCAGAAGGGGCAACUGGAAUUCGUCGGUGGUAGCGGUGAAAUGCGUAGAUAUCGAGAGGAACACCUGCGGCGAAGGCGGGUUGCUGGGCCGACACGUGACGCUGAUGCGCGGAAAGCUAGGGGAGCGAACGGG